AAAUGCCUCAACUAAAAUGGCGGCUGAUAGAAGUGCGCGAGGCCAGAGGGAGGGCAUGCCUUCUCCCCGAGCUCGAAGGGAGCCAUGAGACCUCCGGGAACAAGCUGGUCCGACGUCUAUUAUGGCAAGCAACAAGCCACUACUAUAGCGACCAAGCAAAGCACCCAAGCAAAGAAAGGCUAACCACUCACAGCCACCCCUGGUGAGACCGCGUGGCCAACUAAUGACCAACCUACAUCUGGACUGCAAUAAACUCACAGGGGGCACCGAUAAUGCAGAGACUCAUAUGACCUACAUGCGACAACGCUACUUUACCCUCUUACCGGCAUUGAGCCCCAAAUGCAACAGCAGAACGGGCGGACAACAUCCACAAGGCUACAAGCGAAUGGGCACAACAAUGCUCCACAACCCACUGGAUAAUCCGGCGUCCCCACUACUACUCCUACCGGAGCAACCUUGAAUACCAGCGGCAAGCAUAAAACAUUGUCUAAAUAUAAGAGACUGACAACUUAAAGGGGGUGCUUAGUAACGCUGUCGUUUUAACCAGCUACUAGUCAGGAAUAUGGGGAUCUGCACUUAACUAACUAAUACUGUUGUGUCUUUAUCUUGGGAGGUGGGAGGCAUAGCUAGUUGAUCUGGGUCCAGAAAGCGCUUGUAACUAACUGCUUAACUACUGAAGCACCACAUAUGGCAAGGCGCAAUGUUGAUGUAUAGGCUCCAUCUCAUAUUAAUCGAGUUACUUGCUAAACCUAGCCUGAUGAUGCAAUUAACACUGACAGAACCCUAUUACUUCGCCUCUGUUCAGUUUUUAUAUGCCGUAGCCUGGUCCUAGCCUGUAUUUAAAUAAUAAGAAACUAAGUAAUCGUUCUAUCCUAGCCUGCAAUAACAACCAGUACAGGGUAUCUAUGCCAAUCACACUGUCAUUGACACUGCCUCAGCACUGCCCUGCUAAUCCUGUUGUAUUGCUUUAGGCAAUCCUCUACCCUAUUUCACUCUACUUUACUGUACUCUAUGUUACUUUACUUGACGUUUAAAAACAAAAAUAUGGCAGUCUUUCUUAGGAGUGUAUUAC